AUAUAGUUGGAGAAGAAGGUGCUAGACGAGUGUGCACCUAUUGCUAGCAUUAUAAAUUAUGAUACUCUUAGGGGUCGUUUUGUUUUUUUAUAAACAAAUAUGAUCCGGGGAUAAAAAUUUAGUACUGUGGCCAUCCUUGUUCAUAGUGUGGUUGGGGAGCUCUCUCCAAACUACUAGGUCAAAGGUUCAAUGCUUGUAAACGCUCUAAAAAGUAGUAAUGGGAUA
rnacentral:lncRNA from 1 species